GACGAACCGAGCGAACGUUGUUCGGAAUUACUGGGCGUAAAGGGCUCGUAGGCGGCCAACUAAGUCAUACGUGAAAUCCCUCGGCUUAACCGGGGAACUGCGUCUGAUACUGGAUGGCUUGAGUUCGGGAGAGGGAUGCGGAAUUCCAGGUGUAGCGGUGAAAUGCGUAGAUAUCUGGAGGAACACCGGUGGCGAAGGCGGCAUCCUGGACCGAUACUGACGCUGAGGAGCGAAAGCCAGGGGAGCAAACGGG
rnacentral:rRNA from 1 species